rnacentral:rRNA from 1 species
AUGGGCGCAGCCUGAUGCAGCGACGCCGCGUGAGGGAUGACGGCCUUCGGGUUGUAAACCUCUGUUAGCAUCGAAGAAGCGAAAGUGACGGUAGGUGCAGAGAAAGCGCCGGCUAACUACGUGCCAGCAGCCGCGGUAAUACGUAGGGCGCGAGCGUUGUCCGGAAUUAUUGGGCGUAAAGAGCUUGUAGGCGGUUGGUCGCGUCUGCUGUGAAAGGCUGGGGCUUAACCCUGGUUUUGCAGUGGGUACGGGCUAACUAGAGUGCAGUAGGGGAGACUGGAAUUCCUGGUGUAGCGGUGGAAUGCGCAGAUAUCAGGAGGAACACCGAUGGCGAAGGCAGGUCUCUGGGCUGUAACUGACGCUGAGAAGCGAAAGCAUGGGGAGCGAACAGGAUUAGAUACCCUGGUAGUCCAUGCCGUAAACGUUGGGCACUAGGUGUGGGGGACAUUCCACGUUUUCCGCGCCGUAGCUAACGCAUUAAGUGCCCGCCUGGGGAGUACGGCCGCAAGGCUAAACUCAAAGAAAUUGACGGGGGCCCGCACAAGCGGCGGAGCAUGCGGAUUAUUCGAUGCAACGCGAAGAACCU